rnacentral:lncRNA from 1 species
AGAAAUGGAGAAUCUCUCGCUCAAGUUAGCCUUACUGGCAAUGUUUCUGGUUGUUGCAAUUGUUUAGUGAUCCUAUUAUAUAUAUAUAUAUAUAUAUAUGUAUACAUAUAUAUUAUUUGAAAAUUUAUAUUUAAAUAUUUUAUCUGUGCUCGUGUAGAGGUAUUAAUCAAGAUCUAUGGAAUUGGUAUAAGUAUUUUCUUAUAAGUAGAAAAUAUAAGUAUUUUUUCUUUCUUCUCAUAACAUAAUUUUUUUUUUUUUUCAUUUAUUGAUAGAUUCACUUAUUGGAGUUGAAGCAAGAGGACCUGUUAUCAGAUAGGUGUGUAACACAACUGCAGAUUGUUCUUUUACGUGUCAAAAAAGGUGCCCAUGCGAAUCAAAUUUACAGACUCACAAGUGCCAAUGUAAAUUUGAUACGCCAUCCACAGUCACAAUAAGAACCUAAGAGGAGAAUCACUGAACUUAAUAGGCAUACCUGCACGUUCUAUUAGAAAGUGGUGUUUCUCAUAGAUUUGUCAUCUAUGUCAGGGUCUUCAAUAAAGUACGAAGAGGAACUUGCUAUAAAAAAUUAUCAGUACCAUUUAUGUUGGUAUAUUCAUUUGAUCAUAUCUUUUAGAACUCAUAUAGCAACAUUAAUUUGAGGAAAGAUCAAAUAAAAUUUUAAUAAGCCAAAGAGAUAUGAAAAUAUGACUUUAACUCUUAAAAAUAUAACUUAUAAAAUUUUGAUAAAGGGGUACUAUCAGGAUCUAAUCUCUCCUGCAUGUAUUCUUUGCCAUGUUUGUGAUAUAUCAACUUCUUUAAAUCCUUCAUUUUUCUGAGAUUUUUAAAAAUAACAUUUUUAUUAGAUUCCUGGAGAG